rnacentral:rRNA from 1 species
UACAGAGGGGGCAAGCGUUGUUCGGAAUUACUGGGCGUAAAGGGCGCGUAGGCGGCCUUCUAAGUCGAACGUGAAAUCCCCGGGCUCAACCCGGGAACUGCGUCCGAUACUGGAAGGCUUGAAUCCGGGAGAGGGAUGUGGAAUUCCAGGUGUAGCGGUGAAAUGCGUAGAUAUCUGGAAGGAACACCGGUGGCGAAGGCGACAUCCUGGACCGGUAUUGACGCUGAGGCGCGAAAGCCAGGGAGCAACGGG